rnacentral:rRNA from 1 species
AGUAGCUCAUGCCCCGCUUCCAGGAAAAGCCUCUAAGCUCUAGAUUAUCAUUAAUCGUACCCCAAACCGACACAGGUGGUCAGGUAGAGAAUACUCAGGCGCUUGAGAGAACUCGGGUGAAGGAACUAGGCAAAAUGGUGCCGUAACUUCGGGAGAAGGCACGCUGGCGCUAGGUGAAGUCCCUCGCGGAUGGAGCUGAAGCCAGUCGCAGAUACCAGCUGGCUGCAACUGUUUAUUAAAAACACAGCACUGUGCAAACACGAAAGUGGACGUAUACGGUGUGACGCCUGCCCGGUGCUGGAAGGUUAAUUGAUGGGGUUAUCCGUAAGGAGAAGCUCUUGAUCGAAGCCCCAGUAAACGGCGGCCGUAACUAUAACGGUCCUAAGGUAGCGAAAUUCCUUGUCGGGUAAGUUCCGACCUGCACGAAUGGCGUAAUGAUGGCCAGGCUGUCUCCACCCGAGACUCAGUGAAAUUGAACUCGCUGUGAAGAUGCAGUGUACCCGCGGCAAGACGGAAAGACCCCGUGAACCUUUACUAUAGCUUGACACUGAACAUUGAGCCUUGAUGUGUAGGAUAGGUGGGAGGCUUUGAAGUGUGGACGCCAGUCUGCAUGGAGCCAACCUUGAAAUACCACCCUUUAAUGUUUGAUGUUCUAACGUAGCCCCGUUAUCCGGGGUGCGGACAGUGUCUGGUGGGUAGUUUGACUGGGGCGGUCUCCUCCCAAAGAGUAACGGAGGAGCACGAAGGUUGGCUAAGCAUGGUCGGACAUCAUGCGGUUAGUGCAAAGGCAUAAGCCAGCUUGACUGCGAGAGUGACGGCUCGAGCAGGUACGAAAGUAGGUCUUAGUGAUCCGGUGGUUCUGAAUGGAAGGGCCAUCGCUCAACGGAUAAAAGGUACUCCGGGGAUAACAGGCUGAUACCGCCCAAGAGUUCAUAUCGACGGCGGUGUUUGGCACCUCGAUGUCGGCUCAUCACAUCCUGGGGCUGAAGUAGGUCCCAAGGGUACGGCUGUUCGCCGUUUAAAGUGGUACGCGAGCUGGGUUUAGAACGUCGUGAGACAGUUCGGUCCCUAUCUGCCGUGGGCGUUGGAAGAUUGAAAGGGGCUGCUCCUAGUACGAGAGGACCGGAGUGGACGCACCACUGGUGUUCGGGUUGUCAUGCCAAUGGCAUUGCCCGGUAGCUAAGUGCGGAAGAGAUAACCGCUGAAAGCAUCUAAGCGGGAAACUUGCC